UACGAAGGGGGCGAGCGUUAUUCGGAAUCACUGGGCUUAAAGCGCGUGUAGGCGGAUGGGGACGUCGGUCGCUGAAAUCCCCCGGCUCAACCGGGGAACGGGCGCCGAAACGCCCCGUCUCGAGGGACGUAGGGGGACCUGGAACUUCCGGUGGAGCGGUGAAAUGCGUUGAGAUCGGAAGGAACGCCCGUGGCGAAAGCGAGGUCCUGGACGUCUUCUGACGCUGAGACGCGAAAGCUAGGGGAGCGAACGGG
rnacentral:rRNA from 1 species